UCGAAAAAACACCGAGACCAGGAAUUUGGGGAAGAAAAGCCAGAGAGGCUGGAUGGCUAUGAUGCCGAUGGCUGGUGGGAUGGAGCUCUGGCACACCGGUGCUGCCGGGGCCAGGAUUCCGCCAUGGGGUGAGGACACCACAUUGCACGAGGCUGAGGUGGCUGUGCAGGGUGGCACGUGGAUGGAGGGCACCCCAAAACCACCCACCCAUCACUAAAAGUCCCUCCUCCACUCUCCCCUUCCCAAUUUCCCCAGCCCCCCUGUGUGGCAGACGGAUGCUGGGUAAGAGGUGUGUCUGCCGGAGCCGCACUUGCCACACAGCAUCGCCCAGCCGGGCUGGUCCAUGCUCGCCAUCCCCGGGAUGGGCUCUCCCGGCUGGGCUGGGGGCACCAGCGGAGACAGAUGGGGCUGAACCUCUCCAUGUGACACUGGCACCAUGGCCAGGCUCUGCCAAGGGACAAGGAUGUCACCCAGCUGGCUGUGGCGAAGGGAAGGGGCCCCCAGCGCAUCCCCCACCACUGGGCACGGCGAAGCCAGCUCCUGUCUCUGCCGCUUUCCCCUUUUCCUCCUCCCCAUUUGGCUUUUGGCAGCGGAGCCGUGGUGGCGGCUGGGGCACACAGUGCCGGGGAAGGGCUGCCAAGCGUCGGCAGCCCCCCGCCGUCCCCGGCCCCCCGUGCCAAGGCUGGUGGCUGGCAGAAGGGCUGCCUGUGCCUGGCAGGGCUCCGGCAGCUGCGGGAGGAUCCCUGUGCCGCGCUUGCUGCCAAUUUCCCUGCGAGCUGGCACCACAGGCGGCUCCGGAGGCACCGGCGGAGAAAGCUGUGGAGGACGGAUUGUGAAAGGGACAGAGGAAAAAAAAAUAAUGGACACAUGCCAUCGCUGGAGCGGCGAGGCUGCCAAAACACCAGCAGGCAGCACAGGGCCAAAACCCGCCAGCGGCAGAGAGGAGGGUCUGGCAGCCCAUCCCGGCGCGGGUGCAUCGAGGACAGGCAGCGCGGCAGAGGCACAGCGCGGCUGAGGCGGGACAGGUAGCAGAUGGUGGAGCCGGAGAGGAGAGAGAUCCUCACAGAUGCCACCUUCCUCCAGGGAUGAAGCCACACUGGAUGGGGCAGCUCCCAGAGGCCACCGUGCCACUAAGCCCUGUCACAGGAUGGUCCUGGGGCAGGGACUCACAGCUGGUUGUGCUGUGGGACAUGUGAUGUGGCGGAUGCAGAUGUGCCACCAAUCUGGUCCUUUCUGGGAUGUGCCAAGAACUGCUGGUCCCCAAACCCACUGGGACAUGGUGAUGGAGAACGGAACCCCCUGGGUUUCAGUAUCACCAGGAGCACGUCCAGGCAAAGGAGGAGGUUUGUCCAUCUGGAGGUUUAUCCAUCCGAACACCGGGACACGUGGAGUUUUACCGAACACGCUCAGGCCCUGCUGGCUGCCUUGCGGGCCAGGAUUCAGCCUGGGGAGGAGAAACGUGUUUGCAGCCACGCUCCAGACCACAGGAGCCCAGGAGGCUGAUGGUGGAGUUGCCCAGCGGGACUUGCACAGACCCACCGCUGGGACCUGCUCUGCUGUCCUGGGACACCAUCAUUCCUCACCCCACUGCCCCAUGCCCUGGGGAUGCUCCAGGGUCACUGGUCCAUCCCCAGCUCAAACUGGGAGCUCUGAGUGCUCAGGGCUCAUCUCUGCAGGACGGGGACAUCCCACCUCUCCAUCCCUGGGCUGAAAAACCUUCUGACCCGGUGGGUUUUGGAGCAAGAGGGAUGAAGCGGGAGGAGGAUGUUGUGGGUGCUGAGGGUGCUGCGGGUGUCCAGGCAGGGUGGCGGGGGCUGCCGGUCACUGCCAGGUUACAUCUGCCGGGGCACGCAAGAGUGACUCCAGAUGCAUUAGAAGUGCCGUGCUCCAAUUUCAAUUUCAUCGUCUCACAAUCAUUUUCAGGCUCCUCUUAGUGCCACAUUAACGAAGCCUGCUCGUUUGAAUGCAUAAUUAGCCCAAGCAUUCUACCUCGCUAAUUUCGAAGCAAGAGCGGGGGGGUGGGGGGGGAAUUUGCAUAUUAAUUUAGAAGAGGGAGAGAAAAAUUGUUUACCACUUGCUUCUUGCUGUUGAUCACAGCGGACUUAACUCUUUCCCGGGUGCCAUCUGGAGUGGCAGAGCUGGAUGCUGGGCCAGCACGUGGGACAGGACGCAAAGGUUACGAGGCAGCAAUUAAAUCCUCCCCGUGGUGCCAAGACUGGCCAGACCACCCUGCCUGUGUUACUGGGAGCCAACUGGGGGCACUGGGGCUGCAGCCUCUAGGAACACAGGGAAGGUGAAGGGUGGCCAGGGUGGAGGUGCAAGCCCGGGGUGCAAAGUGCCAUUGUCACCCCCUCCCCAGGGCAUCAGGGUCCCAUCCUGGGUCUGUCCCUGUCACCCUUAGUGAAGCUGGUGCAGUGCCAGGUGCGGCCCAGGGAUGCCCAACAGCAUCAUUCCCCCUGGGUGCAUGCAAAGUCUACUCUGCCACCCUCACUGACAUCCCCCUUGCUUUUUAGCAUCCCCCGCAUCUCCCUUGCUUUUUAGCAUCACUCACCCAUAAUAUUAAGAAUGUCGGAUGCUCACAUGUGCCAUCCCCCACAGCCCUUUACAAUAGGGUGGCUCAUGGCAUCGCUGUGCCCGUAGACACGAUGCACACACACAACACCCACAGGCCGGGGUGGGUGGCCUCGCUGAGCACCGACAACUCGCUACAACCCCCUACCGCCAUCUCCCUUUGUUUGGGAGGCUGUGGGCGUCUCGAGCUGAGGUUGGAGGUAAUUUGUCUGUCUCCUGCAGCGGGCUGUCAUCUUGCAUCUGUGAACCAGUUCCAUUUGCGCUGCCAUUAAAAAAAUCACAGGUCUGAUAGGCAGUAAAAAAAAAAUUUUUAGAAAAGAGAAAAACCUCUCAAAUCCAGCUCUCAUGAGCUCAUCGCAUCUGCAACCACCCUCAAAUCCAGCUACUGCAGAUAUGACGAGCCAUAUUUUGGCCUUUGCACCUCCAUCCUCAUCUCAUCUGGACUUCCCAAAAAGACUGAAAUCACCCCCAGAGAGUCUCUGUCCCAACCGUCCAUGUCGUCCCACUGGCGUGGAGCCAUUCCAGCACGUCACAGUGAUUUGGGGGACAACCUCCAUCCCUGGCAUCACCGUCUGGCUCCUGCAUCCCAGCAGGCGGAUGUAUGAGGGGUUCAUCCUGCUCCUGUCCGUGCUGCCAGGCCACAGAGCCACACGACCGGGGGACACCCCGCAUGUGGCUCUGGGGUCUCCGGUGUGGCUGGAGCGAUGCCGGCACUGCCACAGCGCCUGGGGCUGGCUCGCAGAGGGUUAACAGCUGAUUACAGCCUUUGUCUCUGCAUCAGUGUACAUAAUGCGCCCCGCAUUUGCAUACUGCAGUGUGCGCUCAAUUAAAAUGAACUUUUAAUUUCUUCUAA